CUCCGCAGCUCAUGGGGCGUUUAAAUUACCUCUAGCUGCAUAAAGGUGAUCAAACGGGCUCAAAACGCUUAAAGUGGCACUAAAAUAUGCUGCAACCCGACGUGUUUAUUAAGAAACAUCAUUUUUAUUGCAUCACAGAAAGGACGGAUCCGCAAAAAACAAACUUAAAUACGGUAAUUAUGAAUAAAGAAUGAAUGAGUAAAUAAAUAAGAAAGCAACAUCGUGUCUUUCUCACACAGGGUGUCCGCGGGUCCUUAAAAAGUCUUUAAAAGUCUUAAAUUGCUUUUCCUAAAAAUAAGGCCUUAAAAAGUCUUAAAAAGUCUUAAAUUCAGAUUGGAUUGGUCUUAAAUUUUUUUGGGUGUCAUGUCAUUACGAAUAUGAGGCAAUCUGUUCCGCCAGGUCCGUAGUUUGCUCCGGUCGCUCUGCGGUGUCUCUGGUGUCACCGGGGCCACGCCCCUUCUCUUAAAGGGGCCCCGCGUAUUCGGUCCCAUCCCCGACAACGUGAAGCAUCGGCUACUUUAGAAAACAUGGCAGGAUGCAAGUUCAACAACGGCUUGAAAAGAACGAAUGUUUCUGGUCACGGUCGGUGAAAUGCUUCUGAAGCUGCGUUAUGUGUCGGGAGACUUUCCAGCGGUGGAAUCUCACGAGCAGAGCAAGAAGCACAGAGACUAGCGAAGGCCGCCAGCAGCCCGCGGGGCUAGCUGCUGCUCCGCCGCCAGCAACGACGUCAACGCUACAAACGCUGGAGGUCACCGGAGGAAAUCCAGCGCCUUGCAACAAAGAGCUCAUCACCGAAGUCCAACAGGGCGCCGUGUUCUUCAUUCUGUUCCACGAGUCUCUGGACCAGACCACCGCGAGCAGACAGCUGGACUUCAUGUGCGUUAUUGGUGAAAUGACCACGUCCCGUCAGGAUCCUCUGGAGCUCAUGGGCCAUGACACCAGGACCUACUUCAGCACCUCAAAGAGAAUGGACCAAAUGUCAACUGGAAGUUUUUAUAUUAAUACAGUUUGAAAAGGAUUGUUUUCCUAGUAUAUUCACAAAAGCUCAGGAGUAGACAUGAACCUGUGCACAAACAUCCAUCACAUAGAGACAUAAGAACACACACACACAUACAUUCUAUUAUGUAAAUGAAUUUGCAUUUUAAAAGCAGCUGGAAUAGUUAUUUAUGUUAUUUUAUAGAUUUUUUUGUUCAAAAGGAACUAUGUUGCCUGUAUUUUUAAAAUAUAUUUACUUGAUAUAAGCAUUUGUUCAUGGGACUUAAAUGUUCUGAAAAUGUAUUAAUAAAUAUAAUUUACAACAGCAA